rnacentral:misc_RNA from 1 species
AAGAAAAAAACAACUGAAGGAAACUGCUGGAAACACAGAGUUGGUUCUGAUGACAACAAUGAAGGAGAAGAGAAUGUUUGAUAUCUUUAGGAUUUUUGUUGAGCAUGCGACACUUUUUAAUUUUUCUAUCUUUAUUUUGUCUUCUUGUCUUUUAAUAACAUUUCCCUAGUUAAGAAUUUGUUUCUUGUUGUUCAUCUUUUU